UUGCUUUAGCAGCACAUAUAGAAAAAUUCAAACGACACAGAGAAGAUUAGCAUGGCACCUCUGCAAGCAUGACAUGCAAAUUCAUAAAGCAUUCCAUAUUUUU
ensembl:snRNA U6 U6 spliceosomal RNA